CCCGUUGUUACCCGUGUCACUUCCGGGUCAGAGGUUGUGUGCCGACAGGGCGACUGUUUGUGUGGUGCUCCGUGCUCCCUGUGUGUGCUGCUUUGGUUGUGGUAAAUGCUGGAAGCUGCCUGGAGUCCUCUCUCCCUCCCUCCUCUCCUGAGUGUGUGAGAGUCUGUUACUGCUAAAAAGUUGCUGAAGGCCGGUGGUGGCGGUGCUGGUGACCUGGUGGUGGCAUCCUCCCGUCCUGUCUCUCUGUGUCCCCUGGGAGUGGGCUUUUCUUCACUGAGAAUGUGUGUCUGCCACGUAUGCCCGGUGAUUUAAGUUUGUUUGUUUCUUUUUUUUUUUUUUUUGGUGAAUCCCCCCCCCCUGCACUAGCCCUCGUCCAUCCACUUUGGCCUCAGCCCUGAUUAGGUUUGUUCCCCUUUUUUUGGUGAGAAUGAGUUUAAUUGGUGAUCUUUUUUAGAACAAAAAUGAUAAUUUAAUAAAAACUGCAUUUUAA